rnacentral:lncRNA from 1 species
ACUCAGAGGACUGUGCAAGGUGCCCUAUUCUGUCAUGUGGUACAUAUUUAAUGCUUGAAAGAACAAGGAAGGGACACGUGCAGGAGAGAGAGAUAGUUGGACCAACACAGAGCUAGCAAUAGCUCUAGUAAAAGACUCGGGAUGGGGAGUAUUAUAGUAUUGCAUAUCUAAUAUACAUACAUUGGUUGUGGGGGCAUACAUAAUCUUAUCUUUGCCAAGCCAACCUUGAAAUCCUUGGCUUUGCCUUGCAUCAGUAGCCCUUUUGUAUCUUUCCUUUGUGUGCUUUUUUAAUUUUAUUCUUUCCUGGGGUUAUGAGCUAUAGGUGCAUCUAGACCUGAUACAAGCACUGAGGCAGGCAGAAAAGCAGAACGGAGCAAACGCGCAGCAAGCACGACAGAUGUCUGUAGUCAUUUAUAUUGCCAGCACGUGGGUGCCGUUUGCUGUUUCCCCUUACUUCUCUUGUGCUCUCCUGGUGAGGAAACAGGAGGCACUUUGCAGCCGACAAUGAAAUCUUGGCAGCUAAUUGCAGUCGUGGGAGAUGCCCUUCAGGAUACUAAAGCAGAGUGCAGUUCCUGUGUAGAAACAGAAGACAGAAAACAUGAUGGGUGUGUUGGCUACUGUAUUCAUCAGCAAGACAUCCAAAAAGCAUUCUAACAUCUGUGCGAAGUGUGAGCACCCUCAUACUUGAGUGAAUAUUUCUAAUAUGGCAUGAGCAGCCUGGUGAGUAGUGUAAUUUUUGUGCACUUUUAUACUUUAUUUGCAAAGGCAGAGGCAGUGUCUCUCAGUACAGAAUGGAUAGGAAUUGAUUGAUUUCAUGGCAGAGGGCGGAAGGUUACCACUUACUCUAUUGAUGAUCCUGCUGCUGCAGAUUUUUAUAACCUAAAAUAGUCUCUCACCUCUAAUGCUGUUGCACUAAGGUUCUAGGGCAUGCACUCCACACCUUCAUCUGCUAGGGUAAAGAGAGUUAACCUCAUCCCAAAGGGCAGAACUCUUUGUUUAGGUGCUCACAAAAUGCUGCUACUGCAACCAUAGCUCUAGCCUUGAAGGGAAUUACAAACAAAAUUGAAUGGGGUUGGGAACAAGAUCCUAACUCAUUACUUUGUGAUGCUCUAGAAAGGACAUGAAGGAACUCAAAUAUAGGGGCAACGCAGGAUUUUCCUUACAAUGACUAUAAUCAGUGGCAAUAAAUAUCAAGUAGAUGGGGGAAAUGGACA